rnacentral:rRNA from 1 species
UAGGGAAUCUUCCGCAAUGGACGCAAGUCUGACGGAGCAACGCCGCGUGAGUGAAGAAGGAUUUCGGUUCGUAAAACUCUGUUGUUAGAGAAGAACAGCGCAUAGAGUAACUGUUAUGCGUGUGACGGUAUCUAACCAGAAAGCCACGGCUAACUACGUGCCAGCAGCCGCGGUAAUACGUAGGUGGCAAGCGUUGUCCGGAUUUAUUGGGCGUAAAGCGAGCGCAGGCGGUCAAUUAAGUCUGAUGUGAAAGCCCCCGGCUCAACCCGGGAGGGGUAAUUGGAAAUGGUUGACUUGAGUGGAGAAGAGGGGAGUUGAAUUUCAAGGGGAGGGGGGAAAUGCGUAGAUAUAUGGAGGAACAACAGUGGCGAAGGCGACUUUCUGGUCUGUAACUGACGCUGAUGUGCGAAAGCGUGGGGAUCAAACAGG